UACGGAGGGUGCAAGCAUUAAUCGGAUUUAUUGGGCGUAAAGGGCGCGUAGGCGGGGAAGUAAGUCAGAUGUGAAAUCCCAAGGCUCAACCUUGGAACUGCAUUUGAAACUGUUUUUCUUGAGGGUAGAAGGAGAAAGUGGAAUUCCACAAGUAGCGGUGAAAUGCGUAGAUAUGUGGAAGAACACCGGUGACGAAGGCGAAUUUCUAUAUUACACCUGACGCUGAGGCGCGAAAGCUAGGGGAGCAAACAGG
rnacentral:rRNA from 1 species